GCAUCAUGGCGUCAUUAGCCAGCUAAACAGAUUUACAGUAUUUGAAGAAAGGGAGGGUUAUCUGACGUUCAUCUAUAACAAUUAAGCGUCAUAAGUUUGAAAAAUACAAGUAAUGAAGUAAUGAAAAAUACACAUAUUUUCGACAAAAAAAUAAGUUAUGGAUAUAUGCAACGGGAGGAGGCGAAAAAUAAGAACCCCAAGAAGUCUGAGGGCUUACAAAAGGCUGGUUGAAGCACAGAACGCUACCGCCAACAUGACGAAGCGGGAGGUGAAACGAGAGGUGUGCAAAGUCCUGAGGUCGCUAGCGGUAGAGAACAACAACGUGGACAUCGAUGUCCCCAUGGAGGAGCACUGUUUCUCUAUGAACUUUAGCAAGAACGAGAACCUCGAGGAGCAUGCCAUGGUUAUGGCACCACGUUACAGUCUGUUGCGAGAGGUCGGAAGGGGCAGCUAUGGGGUAGUGUUCGAGGCAAUUGCACGGAGGACAGGGGCAAGGGUAGCGGUUAAAAAACUCCAGUGUAACGCUCCUGAAAAUGUGGAACUCGCUCUGUCAGAAUUCUGGGCUUUGGCAAGCCUGGAAAAGAAGCACGAGAAUGUGGUGCAGCUCGACGAAUGUGUGCUACAAAGGAAUGGAAUGGCCCAGAAAAUGAGUCAUGGAAAUAAAAGGUCAAAACAAUACCUGCGGUUGGUGGAGACUUCACUAAAAGGUGAGCGAAUUCUGGACUACCCGGAGGAGCCGUGCUACCUAUGGUUCAUCAUGGAGUUCUGCGAAAGUGGGGACCUGAACCAGUACAUCCUUUCGCGACGGCCCGAUCCGCGCACCAACAAGAGCUUCAUGCGCCAGCUGACCAGUGCCGUGGCCUUCCUGCACCAGAACAACAUUGUGCACCGCGACCUCAAGCCCGACAACAUCCUCAUCUCCCAGAAGUCAGGGUUGCCUGUCCUCAAAGUGGCUGACUUCGGCCUCAGCAAGGUCUGCGCAGGCUUGAGCAAAGAUGGCAAUGAGCACCCCAAAGCUGGAGGCGACAGAAACAACGUGAACAAGUUCUGGUUGUCGUCAACAUGUGGCUCAGACUUUUUCAUGGCGCCCGAGGUGUGGGAGGGCCACUACACGGCCAAGGCUGACAUAUUUGCCCUGGGAAUCAUCAUCUGGGCCAUGCUGGAGCGGAUCACCUUCAUCGACGCCGAGUCCAAGCGCGAGCUGUUGGGCACCUACGUGCGUCGGGGCACUGAGAUUGUGCCAGUGGGUGAGGCGCUCCUGGGGAACCCCAAGAUGGUGCUCCACAUCCCGCAGAAGACACGCAGCACCAUGUCUGAGGGGGUGAAGAAGCUUCUGCAGGACAUGCUUGCGGUCAACCCCCUGGACCGGCCCGACGCCUUCCAACUGGAGGUGCUGGUGAACCUAGUCACGUGUGCUGCGUGACACCGCUCCUCUCCCAUUCCCCUUUCCAAACCAUGGCCAGUCUGCUUUUUUUACCAGAUGUUUACUAACUCAAUGUGGGAUCCCAAGUCUGUACAGAGGUGGAAAAGGGGACUCUGAUCAUCUCUGAACUUUAAAACCUCCGUGAUUGAGGUCAGCACUUCAAAAAUCAGGACACCAUCUUAGGAAAAGCUAUGCAAUCAAAUCGUAUGGAAAGUCAAGUUCUCUCCCAGCAUCUUCUAUUUUAAAUUUGGAACGUUGUCACCAAAAGCCGAAAGACAAUCGCCAAUGUGUGAUGGUCAGCAAUGCCAGAACAGUGCUCCUUUGCACACCUGGUUUGAAAUGGCCUGAAGGAGUAAUCAUGAUUUAAGUUAUUUUUAUAUAUAUAUAUAUAUAUUUUUUUUUACCUUUAUUUAACCAGGCAGGUCAGUUAAGAACAAAUUCUUAUUUUCAAUGACGGCCUGGGAACAGUGGGUUAACUGCCUGUUCAGUUAUGGACGGGUUCUUCCUUCUCCUCCAAUGUUGACAUGUGUUGUUGGAUGGGGCCACAGGCUAGUAUGAAUGGAUAAUCUGUCAUGGUUGCACUGUGGACCCUCUAUGCCAAAGGUUUAAAAAGUAUUCCUAAAAUGACAGAUGAUAAUGAUGUAGAAGAAGGAACUCAAUUUGUGUCAUAGAAUUUGUUCUAGGAUGGACAUGAACGUUCUUAUGAUGGGAUAAAUGUCAGACAUUUUGGUCAGGGAGUUGGUCGACCAUGGUACCAGAUACAAUAACGUAUUUGCACUGUCUGUUUAUUAGCUGGCCAGCCAGAUUUAGACCACUUUUUAAUAAUUUAACUGCCAAUUGUCUAUUCACAAAACAAUAAGGAAUUACCCUCGCCCACGCCCCACAAACAACAAACAUUCUUCUCCACCCCCCCCCCCCCUUAGUGUAAAGGAGCAAUUUAUUUUUAUGUUUUCCCUAUGGCCGAAAAGCUGCUGUGUUGUUCAAUGUACAUGUAGCCAGAUCUGAAAUCCCGACCUACAGUUGGUCAUGCUCCCACGUAGGGAAAUGGAGCCCCGAGGCUUCAGGCUAUUCGGCGUGGGAAAUGUGGGGACCCCGUGUCCAGGUAGGCUACACGUAUCUGUGUGUGGAAAACAUUUCAUCACAGGUGAGACAUGUAGUCUGUGUAGUGUAGUCUUUGUAACACCACUCACUACUUGUAGCUGUAUUGUCCCUUUGUUUGUGUUGUUGGUCUUGGCUAGCUUAGAGUCAUACUGAGACAAAGGGCUCUUUACAGAUGAGCCCUGAAUUACAUCAGUUACAGAAAAUACACAUCAAAAUGCGAGCAGAAAGACAUUAAAAAACAAACUCAAUCAUCAGUGAUGAGGUCUUCAUGCAAGAUAAUUGUUAUGUAAUGACAAGGUCAUGUGGCUGCUAGCAUUGUCAUGAAAAGGGGCUUGAGGGAAGCCCUACAAUAUUAAGUAGUGAGAACACUCAGGAUCAGGCAAUGUUGAAAAGUCAUCUUUAGACGUGUACUUUGCUUAAAUUUAAUUUUGUAAUUGACUAAAACAAGCAGACAAAAAUAAAAUUGUUUGAAAAAGGCCCAAGUAUUUGCUGUGAGCCAAUGGGGUAACCUAGGUAACCACAGGUUGUUUUCCCCUCAGGCGUGCUGGGGAAAUGUUCUAUUCUAAUUCUAUUCUAAUAACAAAUGGGUCUAUUUAAGCAAUAAGUCACCUCCAGGGGUUUGUGGUAUAUGGCCAAUAUACCACGGCUAAGGGCUGCUCUUCGUCGUAACGUGGAGUGCCUGAACACAGCCCUUAGCCGUGGUAUACUGGCCAUAUACCACAAACCCCAAGGUACCUUAUUGCUAUUAUAAAUGGUUUAUCAACACAAUUAAAGCAGUAAAAAUAACAUUUUUGUUGUGCCUGUGGUUUACGGUCUGAUAUACCACAGCUGUCAGCCAAUCAGCAUUCAGGGCUCGAAACUACCCAGUUUAUAAAUGCCAACAUUCCAUUCAUACAAUGCAGUCAAUCCACAGCCAUACACUGGCUGAAAUUGAUGAUAGGACUCAGACAAGUUGUAAAUGCAACAGGUAUUGACUGAUAUCGUAUCAUAUAAUGGCACUCCCAGCUCUCCAAGAAAACUGGUAUGGUCUGUUUUUUAAAGGCUAUUUAUACAGAAAAUUGCUAUUAAAAAAAACAAAUGCAUUUAUAAUUCUGACUAUUUUACGUUGACAAGUCUAUUACACAAUUUCUGAUAUGCAGAAAGAUCAAAGGCAUUUAAGUAAAUUCAGGAUUCUUCCUCUACUGCCAUUCAUUCCAAUUAGACUGGUUUGGCCAAUAGGGUUGCUAUUUUCACCCCAUUCUGGAACUUAGGGUCUAUGACGGAGCCCCUCGAGUAAACUAACAGCAUCUCUAUGACUUGUAUACUGUGAAUGGGAAUUAAAUGCAAUGCAACUUUAUACAGGCAAUUAAGAACGGUGGGUUAGGCCCUUCUUGUUGGGUAGUUGAGUAAGCAGUUCCCCGUCCUCAAUGUGGACUCACGGACCUAGUAUCAACCAAGCUGCAUCAACACCCCUGUUUUCCUCCCUCUACACCCUUGUGCCUUAUUUUACCUUCAUCAAAUAGAGGGCUAACUCAUUUGAUUCACAAAAAUAUAUAUUUUUAUAAAAAAAUGUUUUGAUGCAAUAUAUAAUUUGUCCCUGGUAGCAGGCCUAUAUCAGUUGAUAAUAUGUUGUGCAUUUGAAGACAACUGUUUGUCUCUAUAUGAGAUUAUAAAAUUGGUUUUGGGGGCAUUGAAGAUUCAGUACCCAAACCAAGUGAAUUGUAUUCUAGCUACUCACUCACUUUGCAGUCUAAUGCCAUGUAAGGGGAACGUGGGAACCUUUUGAGUGAUUCAAAAAAAAUAAUGUUUUUGACUCAUUUACUUAUUUGACUUUGGAUAGUGUUGUAAUAAAAUUUGCUGUUAACAUUGUGUAAAUAAUGCUAUGGAAUGGGAUCGAAAGGACAGUUUGAAUCAAUAUCAUCUGAUCUUUGAGUAGUUCUUGAAUAUCUGUUGGGGAGGUACUUCCGUUUUGGAAGUCUGAUUGGGAAUAGUUCCCCAAGUAACACCAAGACGAGGUUAGAAACACCUUUCCAAAAUGGGUCCACUUUAGUCCACAACAACUGCCUAACUGAAGCCUCUUCUCUUCAUGAAAGCGUUUCCAAACUGGCAGAACGUCAUGUUCAGUACACAGUAAAGCUUUGUAUAACAUGUUGAGCCAUCAGUUGGUUUCCCAUCUGUGUUCUGUAACUUUAGUGAAUACUGCAUGGUGCCAUGUUCCUUGCUUACCAUUGGGCCUGUUUUUAGUCGUUUCAUUUCACACGGUAAACGAGUGGUGUGUGUGUGUGUGUGAGUGGAAAUCGCAGUUGAAUGGACAGGUAUUAUACACCCCAGACGUACACCCCCCCCCAAGAUAGUUGUUGUCAACGUCUUUCAAACACUACCACUUUGAAGAGGCUACCUUCUGGAUUAUGAAGUCUUUAAAAAAAAAUGUUUUAGUGAUUUUUAUAUUGUAGUACUUUGGCUCAUGAGAAUUUGUCACGCGAAGUCUGAGUUACAAUACCCGCUCAGGUAAUGGUUGACUGUCUAAAACCAGGGCUGGAUCAUUACAAAAGCUCAUUCUUGAUUGCCGAGUGUGGACUAUUUAACGAACAGUAUAUUGGGCAUAUUGUCCACUGUCUUAACUAGCUUUUGUUUUGUUUGAAGUGAGCACGGUAGUUGAUGGUUGACUCGUAAACGUGCUUCCAGGAUUCAGUUGAGACAGCAGCUUGUGCUGCCCCAUCACGGUCGAGGCAAUCCAUCCUCCAUAUUUGCUAGCCCAGUGUAGCAUCCUGUUUUCACAUUUGACCUUUUUUAGUUUACAGCUAUUGACAAACUCAAUCUGUAUUUGCCUAGCCGGUCCUACCGGUCUUCUACUUCUCUGACAGUUCUUUCACUAGAUCGUUUCAGUAGAUUCAUUCAAAACUGAUAUCAGUCCAGACCUGUGUUGCAUUUGCGUUUUUGACGGGCAAUUUCUUUAAAUGUGAUAGCUUUAAACCUGGGACUGUUUGUUUCUCUUUAACAUCAACCAACCUCAGGUCAAACUCCUCAAAGGCUUCUUGAUGUGGUUUUUCAUUUAGCUACUUUUAUUGCCGUUUGACAUUUUGAAUAAUUUACCUUUUAAGCUUAGCUGCAGAAAAUAUUUGGCUUUUGCCUUUUUAGAAAUGUUUUUGAGUAACACACCUCUCUCUUUGAUACCUCUGUUUUAAUUAACAUUAGUUAGCCUGUACAUUAACCGGGAUUCCUCAUACUCAGCUUCACCGAAGGGACCAGUUUGUUACCUGGAAAACCUCUUGUAACCUCUGACCUCUUUCACAGUGUAAUCAAGUAUGUGAGCGCUCCAUUAAACGUCAUAGCAACAUCAACUGUCACAUGACUACCCUACUUUAAUGUCAGGCACCGCCACAACGAAGCUCUUUCUGCCACCUACUUGUUCAUUCUUGACAUCGUAUCUUGUUGGAGUAGUGAAGAUGUUAGCGUGUAGGUUAAAUUACCAUCUUCAUUCCUCUUAAAAUCCAACACUCCUCUAUGCAACGUUCUCUCACGACACAUUGUGUAAGGAACCACAGCAUUUCUGUUCUGCUUUGUUCUCCUGAACUACUACUUUCAUCACAUGUCAGUGUUCAUACAUUACGUGUCUUUACAAUGUCAUGUAAAAUAUGAAAUUUCUGUUGUUCAAAAAGCUGACUGGAGCCAUUAGGUGUUUUAGCAAAGCAUUGUUUUUUUGCUGUAAAUGUUUGACAUGUUUUUCUUGAAAUAAAUGAUCCAAA